GUAUUUCUCUCUCUGCGCCAACCAGCACUGCUUGCUCACGCCUGUUUCUCCUUUUCCUUGCCGGUGGGGAGGUCAUGGGAUGCGCAAGCACUUUGUCUCUUGCUUUGUUUUCAGUCGCCAUAUUUAAUCUACGUCGAAACUUCAAAAUAACAUUAGGGGGAAAAAUGUAGCGUCAUGUUUAUCAGACGAGGACCUGAGCUUAACAAGCGAUUGAGAGAAAAUCCUUGGGAAGCUGUUAAAAUUUGUGUGUCAAUGCGUUUGUUAUUCUUUUAACCAGUACUCACUGAAUACCUGUAUGUCAGGCUCUCGAGGAAUACAGUACAGACAUGGGAGGUGUGUGUCGGGUUUCUCCGCCAGUCUCCGAGAGUGCCCAGGACCUCUGUAUUACCCGUCGCCUCGUAGUUUUUUCUUACAGGGUUUUGUUCUUUGCUCUGACAGUUAUUUCCCUAAUAGUGUGUCCCGGACUUGAACUCCCCAGGACAGGCCCAUAACUAGUGUCAGAAAUGAGUUCAAGCGUGUAAGUGUGACUAAAGGGAAUUUCAGACUGAUCCUUAAAGUAACAAUCAUAAAAACUAAAAAAAGCCUGGACAACAUAGGGAGACCUCGACUCUACAAAAAAUUUAAAAAUUAGCCAGGCGUGGUGACACACCUGUAGUCCCAGCUACUUAGGAGGCUGAGGUGGGAGGAUCACUUAAGCCCGGGAGGUGGAAGCCGUAGUGAGCCGUGAUGGCACCACUGCACUCCAGCCUGGGAGACGGGGCGAGACCCGUCUCAAAACAAUUACAGUCACGA
rnacentral:lncRNA from 10 species